rnacentral:rRNA from 1 species
AAAGGAAUAGACGGGGGCCCGCACAAGCAGCGGAGCAUGUGGUUUAAUUCGAAGCAACGCGAAGAACCUUACCAAGGCUUGACAUAGUUACGGAUAUGUUGGAAACAGCAUAGCCCUUCGGGGCGUAAUUACAGGUGGUGCAUGGUUGUCGUCAGCUCGUGUCGUGAGAUGUUGGGUUAAGUCCCGCAACGAGCGCAACCCUUGCAGUCAGUUACCAUCAUUAAGUUGGGGACUCUGACUGGACUGCCGUGGACAACACGGAGGAAGGCGGGGAUGACGUCAAAUCAUCAUGCCCCUUAUGUCUUGGGCUACACACGUGCUACAAUGGCCGCAACAAAGAGCAACGAGCUCGUAAGAGUAAGUGAAUCUCAAAAAAGCGGUCUCAGUUCGGAUUGUGGGCUGCAACCCGCCCACAUGAAGACGGAGUUGCUAGUAAUCGCGAAUCAGAAUGUCGCGGUGAAUGCGUUCCCGGGCCUUGUACACACCGCCCGU